UCACCUACCCUCCGAGCACUUUGUAGUUUUAAAAAAACAAAGAGCCCCCCAAAAGCUUCCUCCCCACGAAAAGCGGGAUCUCCUCAGAGCCAGGGGGGCAGCCGCUCCUCAGCGCAGAGCCCGAGCCCAUUCCCGGUCCCUCUGCUGGGGAGGAAACUCCGAUCUGUCAGCCCAACAGAGGGAAAGGGGGGAGAGCGGAGAGAGGAGGAAAAAAAAAGCAGCUGGAAAGCAAAAGAAACGUCUGGUAGUUGCGAGCUCGCUGGAAAACCAAGCAACGCGCUUCGCCCAGCGCAGGUGGAGCAGCUCUGCUUGCUGAGGUUAGAGAUGCGUAGUGUGGUGCCCCUGCUCUGUACAAUGCCGUUUGGCUUAAAAGGCCGACUGCUGCACGCGAGCAACCGCACAGAAAUUUUGGAAGCGCGUAGCUCAGAGCCGCGCGCGCGUUCCCCCGUGCGAUUAAAAUACGGGGAUCCAUAGUUAGUUCUAACUUGGUUACUUAACACGUGAUAAAGGUUUGUUUUAAGGCUGUUGACAAUCUUUGGGAAUUGCUAUACUUUAAAAAAAAAAAAAAAAAAACUAACGUAGGGCAAUGCCCUAUUCCCUCGUAGCUGAGCGUCCGCUUGUCCUGGCAGCGCUGUCGUGCCGGCCGCAGCGGUGUUUCGUCAUGAGCGCUCACUGACCAGGUGUCACUGCUGAUCGAUAAGCGAUAGCGCUGGUGCUCUGUGUGAAGCUCUCGUAGCGACGCUUUCGCAGCCAUCUUCGGGCUUGUGUGUGGUUUGUUGGUAAUACAUACAUCUAUAAAACAAGUUUUAUUAAUCAUAAAACUAAAUUAUCUGCAGAAAGCAAUCCAGAAUUUUAGUAGGAGUUGUUCCGAUGUUUCCAUAUUUUUACGACAAAUGAACUCGUUAUAUGUAGGGCCUGGUCCUCUGGAGUUGCAUGUGCCGUGCUCUCGCAGGAUGAUAAAUCCUCAGAAAAGUAUAAAUUUAUUGUAAUACCAUAUUGAAACUGGGGUAGCUUAAAACUGCUAAAAGGCUGCUCUGUGAGGAACUCUAAUGCCUUAUUCAUUUACUGAGUAUUCUCACUGAAGCAUGAAUGAUAUUCCCGCGUUGUGUGAAAAUAAGGUUGUGUGUCUUUGCAGCACUGGGACUAAGGCUAAGGUAUUUUGUUUAAGCUCGUGUGCAAAUGCAGGUUAGCUGUUAUUUGCAUAAAUAAAAGACAGACUUGUAGUUCUUUUCA
rnacentral:lncRNA from 1 species